ACAACAUUCGGACCGUCUGUCUACUGAGCAAUUCCACCUGCUCGAUUGAAGACUUUUCAUUUGUCGU
rnacentral:pre_miRNA from 1 species